GAUGAACGCUGGCGGCGUGCCUAAUACAUGCAAGUCGAGCGAACGGACGAGAAGCUUGCUUCUCUGAUGUUAGCGGCGGACGGGUGAGUAACACGUGGAUAACCUACCUAUAAGACUGGGAUAACUUCGGGAAACCGGAGCUAAUACCGGAUAAUAUUUUGAACCGCAUGGUUCAAAAGUGAAAGACGGUCUUGCUGUCACUUAUAGAUGGAUCCGCGCCGCAUUAGCUAGUUGGUAAGGUAACGGCUUACCAAGGCAACGAUGCAUAGCCGACCUGAGAGGGUGAUCGGCCACACUGGAACUGAGACACGGUCCAGACUCCUACGGGAGGCAGCAGUAGGGAAUCUUGCGCAAUGGGCGAAAGCCUGACGGAGCAACGCCGCGUGAAUGAUGAAGGUCUUCGGAUCGUAAAACUCUGUUAUUAGGGAAGAACAUAUGUGUAAGUAACUGUGCACAUAUUGACGGUACCUAAUCAGAAAGCCACGGCUAACUACGUG
rnacentral:rRNA from 1 species